rnacentral:misc_RNA from 1 species
AACGCACAUUGCGCCCCUUGGUAUUCCGAGGGGCAUGCCUAUUCGAGCGUCAUUAUCACCCCUCAAGCCUAGCUUGGUGUUGAGACCUGCUGUCAAGGCAGUCUCUAAAAUCAGUGGCAGUGCUGUCAGGCUCUAAGCGUAGUAAAUCUAAUCGCUAUAGACACCUGGUGGACACUCGCCAGAACCCCCCCAUUUUUUAAUGAUUGACCUCGGAUUAGGUAGGGAUACCCGCUGAACUUAA